rnacentral:rRNA from 1 species
UACGAAGGGGGCUAGCGUUGCUCGGAAUCACUGGGCGGUAAAGCGCACGUAGGCGGGUUGUUAAGUCGGGGGUGAAAUCCUGGAGCUCAACUCCAGAACUGCCUUCGAUACUGGCGACCUUGAGUCCGGGAGAGGUGAGUGGAACUCCGAGUGUAGAGGUGAAAUUCGUAGAUAUUCGGAAGAACACCGGUGGCGAAGGCGGCAUCCUGGACCGACACUGACACUGAGGAGCGAAAGCCAGGGAGCAAACGGG